GUGAUUGUGUGUGUUUGUGUCUGACUGUGUGUGUGUGUGUCUGACUGUGUGUGUGUGUUUGUGUGUGACUGUGUGUGUGUCUGACUGUGUGUGUGUGUUUGUGUCUGACUGUGUGUGUGUGUGUCUGACUGUGUUUGUGUCUGUGUGUAUGUGUGACUCUGUGUGUGUGUGUGUGUUUGUGUCUGACUGUGUGUUUGUGUCUGACUGUGUGUGUGUGUGCGUGUGUUUGUGUCUGACUGUGUGUGUGUGUGUGUGUGUGUUUGUGUCUGACUGUGUGUCUGACUGUGUGUGUGU